rnacentral:rRNA from 1 species
CGGAGGGUGCAAGCGUUAUCCGGAUUCACUGGGUUUAAAGGGUGCGUAGGAGGGCGGGUAAGUCAGUGGUGAAAUCCCCAAGCUUAACUUGGGAACUGCCGUUGAUACUAUCUGUCUUGAAUACCGUGGAGGUGAGCGGAAUAUGUCAUGUAGCGGUGAAAUGCUUAGAUAUGACAUAGAACACCAAUUGCGAAGGCAGCUCGCUACACGAAUAUUGACUCUGAGGCACGGAAGCGUGGGGAUCAAACAGGAUUAGAUACCCUGGUAGUCCACGCCCUAAACGAUGGAUACUCGACAUACGCGAUACACAGUGUGUGUCUGAGCGAAAGCAUUAAGUAUCCCACCUGGGAAGUACGACCGCAAGGUUG